rnacentral:ncRNA from 1 species
AUAUAUAAAGUUUUAUUUUGGCUUGUAAUUUUGAUACUCGAAUUUAAUAUAUGUGAGUUUUUGUGUACUUAGUAUUUUUAUAUAAUAGGAAUAGUUUUUAUUUUUGCAAUAUAGAGAAUUGAAUAUGAAAUAAGUUUUGAUUUAGGAAUUCGUUAUAGCUCUGAUAAAAUUUGUGCCAGCAAUCGCGGUUACACAGAUGGGGCAAUUAAGUUUUUUUCGGUUAAUAAUAAUUUAGAUUUUUUAUAAUGUUAGUUUAGAGUUAUUAGGUGAAAUUAGUAACUUUGAUAUAUAUUUUAAUUUAGAUAAUGAGGUUAUGAGGUUUUUAUAAUAAACUAGGAUUAGAUACCCUAUUAUUGAAAAUGCAAAUUUGAUGCCUGAGUAUUAGUAGCUAUGUUCUUGAAAUUUAAAAGAUCUGGCGGUAUUUUAGUCUAUUCAGAGGAACCUGUCCUAUAAUCGAUAGUCCACGAUUAAUUCUACUUAUUUUCAGUUUGUAUAUCGUCGUAGUUUGAAUGUUUUAUGAGAAAAUUGAAUGUUCAAGAUUCAUGUUAUUAUGAAUAAAAUCAGAUCAAGAUACAGCGUAUAGAUAAGGAGAGAUGGGUUACAAUAAGUUUACUUAUGUGGUUAGGAUGUUUAACAUGUUCUAUAAAUUGGAUUUGAUAGUAAUAUGGUUUAGUUUAACUGUAUGAUUUUAGCUCUAAAAUAUGUACAUAUCGCCCGUCGCUCCUUCUCUAAAGAAGGAUAAGUCGUAACAUAGUAGGUGUACUGGAAAGUGUACCUGGAAUGG